rnacentral:rRNA from 1 species
AUGUCUGCCUCUCGUGAGAUAAUAGUAAAUCGGUCGGUUUACGGAUUCUGUACCGAUCAUCGUUUCAAUACUUACUUUGCUUAUUGCAUCGCCAUGGAGCUUAAUAGGGGUUGCUGCGGCCGACGUGAUUCGAAAAGAGAAGCUAGUACCGGGGGCUCCCUAAGCGAGCUGCCUUAUGAAGUACAAGCUUGUAAUGGGGACAGGCUAAGCGAGCUGCCUGCUGACCUGCUGCUCAACAUUCUGGAGAGGGUGGGUAUGCUUGAUGCAAUAAAAACUUGCAUACUUUCGAGGAAAAUGCAGAAGCUGCCCACUAUGCUCUCACAGAUCGUCAUUGAUCUCAGCUCUCACGAUCUAGUUCAAAUGAAUGGUGUCGUGGCUGAUGUGACAGACAAGAUCCUUAGUACGAGGUCUCCGCAGAUCACCAUUCGCAAGCUGAAGCUCAAAUUUUUCCUGAGCCCUUCUCGCUGUCUCUCCAUCGGCAAAUCUGUUGGCGCAGCCAUGGUGACGCAGAAAUUGGAUGCAGCCGAGUUUGAGAUCUUGUCGCCAAGGGAUCUCCAUCUUUGCACUGAUGCCUAUCGCGUGCUCUUUGCUAAGCAGUUCAAUAAUUUUGUUCGUGAUUGUCCAGAUGCAUUUGCUGGUCUCACACGGCUGCAUUUACGGAAUAUGAGAUUUGGUAAAUCAGACAUACCCAUCAUCCUAAGCUAUUGCAAGGUGCUGGAGUCACUAUCUUUCUUAAUGUGUGACGCGGGGAUCCGUUCGGUUCUACAUGUAGAGCAUGCUCGACUCGUCGAGCUUGUUAUCUCCUAUGGAAAAUUCAAAACAGUGGAGCUCAAUCGCCUACCAAAGCUCAAACGGAUGACCUACAAUAAUUGGCCCUAUGAUGAAAAUCCAUUGGUUCUUGGUGUUCUCCCUCAGCUUUCAAACCUCAGUCUUGGUGAUGCAUGUAUUUCUCAGAAGACCCUCAAGCUAAGCCAGCUGCUAGCUACUGUCCCUUCUGUUAGUGAUCUGUCUCUGGAAUUUCGAAGUGAAAAGAUUUGGAUUCAACCAGAAUGCCCCAAAGAGCUUGCUCCUGUGCUUGCUAAGUUGCGGUUUAUUAAUCUGGAUAAUCUUCCUGAAGAAUGUGAUAUCUCUUGGACAAUGUUCCUUCUUGAAGCUGCACCAUCUGUAGAGGACCUUUCCAUCACAGUAUGGGAUCAUAAGUGCCGACAGGAGUCACAAAAUAGUUACUCAAUGAAAACAGAUGUGAAGUGGGAACCAUCUAAUCCAAAUUUUAAGCACAAGAAUCUGGCGACGCUAACUAUCUAUGGCUUCCAGUCCGAUGACAAUUUCAUGGGAUACGUCAGGCGUGUCAUGCAAGCUGCGGUGAACAUCAAGAAGGUGUCUCUGCACGACAGGAAGGUGUGCACGCUUUGCACUGACAAGUUUCCCCAUGCUGACGCUCGUCCUUCAAGCUAUCCUCAAACCAGCGUGCAGAAGGAUUCAUUGAGGAAGAAGAUCACAGAGGCAUCCUCGGAGGCUUCUCGGGCUGUGAUUCAGUUCAGCUCGUAA